AGGGCUUCUGACGGAUGCCUUGGCGCUGGGAGGCGAUGAAGGACGUGGCACGCUGCGAUAAGCGACGGGGAGGCGCGAGCACCCUUUGAUCCGUCGAUUUCCGAAUGGGGAAACCCACCUUUACGGCCUUCCAACUUGCUCAUCCCUGAGAGGGGGCGAGCCGGUUGGCGGGUCGUUGAAAGGUAUUAUGGGCUGAAUACAUAGGCUCAUAAAGCGAACCCGGGGAACUGAAACAUCUCAGUACCCGGAGGAAAGGACAUCAACCGAGACUCCCUUAGUAGUGGCGAGCGAACAGGGACCAGGCCAGUGCUGUCGUGACAUAAAGCCGAACGACCUGGAAAGGUCGGCCAUAGCGGGUGACAGCCCCGUAGGCGUCAAUUAGCGACAGCCUCGAGUAGGGCGGGACACGUGAAAUCCUGUCUGAACAUGGGGGGACCACCCUCCAAGCCUAAGUACUCCCCAGCGACCGAUAGUGAACAAGUACCGUGAGGGAAAGGUGAAAAGCAGCCCUACAAGGGCGGUGAAACAGAUCCUGAAAUCGGAAGCCUACAAGCAGUCGGAGCCUCCAAGCGGGGUGACGGCGUACCUUUUGUAUAAUGGGUCAGCGACUUCAUGUUACGAGCAAGCUUAAGCCGUUAGGCGUAGGCGCAGCGAAAGCGAGUCUGAACAGGGCGCUCGAGUUCGUGGCAUGACGACCCGAAACCAGGUGAUCUAGCCAUGUGCAGGCUGAAGGCUGGGUAACACCAGCUGGAGGGCCGAACCCAUAACUGUUGAAAAAGUUUGGGAUGACGUGUGGCUAGGGGUGAAAGGCCAAUCAAACCUGGAGAUAGCUGGUUCUCCGCGAAAUCUAUUUAGGUAGAGCGUCGGGUGAAUUCCCCGGGGGGUAGAGCACUGGAUGGAUGCGGGGGUCGCGAGACCUACCAAUUCUAACCAAACUCCGAAUACCCGGAAGAACUGCCCGGCAGACACACGGCGGGUGCUAACGUCCGUCGUGAAAAGGGAAACAACCCUAACCAUCAUCUAAGGCCCCCAAGUAACGGCUAAGUGGGAAACGAUGUGGGAUUGCUUUGACAACCAGGAUGUUGGCUUAGAAGCAGCCAUCAUUUAAAGAAAGCGUAACAGCUCACUGGUCAAGCGAUCCUGCGCGGAAAAUGUAACGGGGCUCAAGCCGUUCGCCGAAGGUAUGGGCGUGCCUAGCACGCGGUAGCGGAGCGUUCCGUAAGCCGGUGAAGGUCGAUCGUGAGGUCGGCUGGAGGUAUCGGAAGUGAGAAUGCUGACAUGAGUAGCGACAAAGAGUGUGAGAGACACUCUCGCCGAAAGUCCAAGGGUUCCUGCGUAAAGCUAAUCUGCGCAGGGUUAGCCGGCCCCUAAGGUGAGGCCGAAAGGCGUAAUCGAUGGGAACCAGGUGAAUAUUCCUGGGCCAGUUGGAAGUGACGAAUGUUGUAAGUCGUUGGGGCUUAUUGGAUUGCUCCUGGCGGCGAAGACGUUCCUGGAAAUAACUCCAACGGAGACCGUACCCGAAACCGACACAGGUGGACUGGUAGAGCAUACCAAGGCGCUUGAGAGAACUAUGCUGAAGGAACUCGGCAAAUUGCACGCGUAACUUCGGGAUAAGCGUGACUCACCCUGCGCAAGCAGGACUGAGUGGCACAGGCCAGGGGGUAGCGACUGUUUAUCAAAAACACAGGGCUCUGCGAAGCCGCAAGGCGACGUAUAGGGUCUGACGCCUGCCCGGUGCCGGAAGGUUAAAAGGAGGGGUGCAAGCUCCGAAUUGAAGCCCCGGUAAACGGCGGCCGUAACUAUAACGGUCCUAAGGUAGCGAAAUUCCUUGUCGGGUAAGUUCCGACCUGCACGAAUGGCGUAACGACUU
rnacentral:rRNA from 1 species